AUGGAUUCAACUGCAUCAGCGUCGGGCUCGGCCACGUCCAAUCUCGAAGCAUUGAUGGAGGAAUUGGGCCUCAAGGAAGAUGAUCUGCAGGACGUCGUGGUGGAGGAUGGAGAACUGCCGAAGGAGGAGACGCGCUGGAUGGCGAUCGCUAGGGUUCACACCGACAAAACCUAUAGCCAAUAUUGGUUCUAUAGAGGUAUGAGGGUGGCGUGGGAUCUAGCGAAGGAGGUAAAGAUCAGGCCACUCAAGGAGAAUCUCUAUUCCCUCCAAUUCUCGUGCCUUGGCGACUGGGAGAGAGUAAUGGAGGACGGCCCAUGGAAUUUUAAGGGGAAGGCGGUGGUUCUGGCGCCCUAUGAAGGGUUCACGGAGCCGUCAACGAUUGAGCUCAAGAAGAUAGACAUAUGGCUGCAAAUACAUGAUCUCCCAGAUGGUUACUUCUCCAAGAUAAAGGCCUUGUCAUCCAUGGUAGGUGAGUUCAUAUUUGCCGAGCCAAAGUCACAUGAUUUCGAGGGUAACUUUGCAAGGGUACGAGUGAGAAUAGAUGUGACUAAACCUCUGAAAAAGGUUGUCUCGCUGGUGGUUCAAAAGAAGGAUACGGUCGAGCGUGUCAUCUUCAGAAUCAAAUAUGAAAGAUUGCCGGAUUGA
rnacentral:rRNA from 1 species